CAUUGCACUAGAACCUGAGAAACAACCUUAUUUCCUUUUUGGAUCAUGCACCUCUCCAGAAUCUUGUAUGGCUGGGGACAGUAAGGACUUGACAGUUCAACUAUGGGAGAAUGAGAUGUUUUUUCUGGUAGCUCAUGGAAUUUCUUGAGCUGAGAGACGUGAAACGUUGGGUGCAGUACUAGCUGGGGAGGAAGAGAGAGUUUGUAGGCAACAUUUCCCACUUUUUGUAGUACCUAAUAGGGCCAUAACAUUUAACAGAAAGCUUAGAAAAUUGUCCUCCUAACAUAGAGAUUUGCCUGUAAGGUUGGAUUUUAACAUACACCCAAUCACCCUCUUUGAAUUGUCUAUCCGAUCUAUGUUUAUUGGCUUGGUUCACCAUUCUCUGUUGAGCCCUCUUGAGGUGAUAUUUCAGAAGAUAUACUUUGAACUCCCUCGUGAACAGGCUUCUAUCCACUUCCUCCAUACUUGAGUCUCUAGCAGCAUAAGGCAAGUGCAAAGGAGGGGUUAGCCAUAUAAUGCUUCAUAUGGUGUACAAUGUAUGGAAGAGUGAAAGAUAGUAUUGUACCACCACUCAGCUGCUCCCAAGUAGUGCAUCCAGUCCUUUUGGGAAUCGGAACAGAAACAUCUCAAGUAAGUCUCCACACACCUAUUAACUACCGCAAUUUGGCUAUUUGUUUGAGGAUGGUAGGCUGUUGAGGUAUUGAAGGUUACUCCUAACAUGGAAAACAAUUCUUGCCAAGCCCAAAUAUCACUGCUGCCUAUAGGAAACACUAGAAAAUUAUCUUGAAACACUGCACCUUGCAUGAGCCACUGAAAUCCUUUACACAUUUUCGCUGUAGGUACCUCUUUAUCAUCAGCUACCUGUACCAAUUGAGGUUUGAUCCUGCUGAUUCUGCAUCCCAGCUUCUCUGAUGUAUCCUCAUAAAUGAGAUUGUGGGUGGAUCCACAAUCUAUGAAGAUCUCCAGGGGAUCUGUUUAGUGAAUCCUCUAAGCCUGAGUGUUUGAUACCCCGGUGUGCCAUUGAGUGCCCGUAAGGAUAUGGCACAAUUCUCAUGUGUCUCUUCCAUUACUUCUUCAUUAACUGCUUCAGUUUCUAAGUUUUCUUCUUCACCCUCUUCCUUCUACUCCAGUUCUUCUAUAGGCCCUAACUCCAAGUAGUAGAUUUGUCUUUUGGCCUUGCAUUUAUGGCCAGGAGUAAACUACUCAUCAUAAAAGAAGAAUAUGCCUCUUGCUCUUUUUUUAUCCAUCUCAGUAGGUGUGAUUCUUCUCCUUCUGUUGUUAUCUAUUCUGAUAUCAGAAGGUUUCUUGAACCCAGAGGAAGUAUCUUUCUGCCAGUUGCUAGAAUUGUGUCCCCUUGAUCCUCCAUUCACAGAAGAUCCUGAGUUCAAGUUCCUAAUUUCCCUACAUUGAGCAGCAAAGUUUGCCUCCUGUAAUUUGGCCGAGUACUAAGCCUGGGGUAAGGUACUUGGAUUUUCUACCCUAACAGCACUGCUCAAUUCUGGUUAGGUUGUUAAAGAAGAUGCUAACUGCAUGAUCUGUUGAUAUGUCCAGCCUAGUCAUUACACUAUUGAAUGUCUAUUGGUACUCCUUCACUAUCCCUGUAUGCUUCACAUUUAUUAUUCAGUCAUUGGAUCAGUAUAUUCUACGCCAAAGCUGUCACAUAGUGCCCAAAUAUAUUCAUCCCAUGUGCGAGGGGGCAUUUGACCUCUGCUCCUCUUGUAUCCAAAAUGGCAUUGUAGUGCAUCACCUUCAAAGUGCAUAGACACUAGUUUCAACUUCUGCUGGAUGGUGAUCUCUUCCUCAGAGGAGAAUUGAUCCACCUUAUACAACCAGGUUAUCAAAUCCUUUCCAUUGAACCUUAGGAAAUCAACCUUAGCAUACUUAAUAAAUGGAAGGGUUGGUAUAAGGGUAUUUGGUUGGUGAACUGCAUCCUUCCAUGGGUUGUUUCUGGUUGUGUCUUGAGGUAAGUUAGAGAGUGGUUCAUAAGGAAAUUGGUGGUAUAUAGGUGGGUUAUAUUAGUGUUAGGCACUUGAUAGGCUAUGGGAUACUCUGUGGGUUAGUUAUAAGAGUUGUAGGGAUGUUGAACUCGACUAGGAGUGCUAGAGCACUGGUUAAGACUGACCAUAAUGACUUCUGUUUAAUUCAGAAAGAUAAUGAGAUUGAGCUGGAAGAGUCCUGGGUUGAGGAGAAUAAGGGCCUAAAGGUCCUUGUGUUGAGAACAUAAUAGGUUGUGUUCUCACUGGUUGAUUUGGAUUCUGCAGAUUAAGGUUCACUUGUGUUUGAGUAAGGGUUCCAGGGGAGGUCCAAUUUACUCCCAUAGUAGUAUUUCGAAUAGGGGUAUAGUGUUUGAGGUCGGAAUACUACUAGAACGUGAAACACUCGACAAAGCAAAGCAAUUACCUCACAUGGAGCUGGGUGUUGCCAUUUCCCCUAAACUGAGAGGGAAAUCACUAGGAGAGUACAACUCCCCUCCUUUUGGGUCUAUAUGCUUGCCUCCUCAGAUCUUAUGCCUCUAUGUAUGACCUCAUUAAUCACUUCUCGUACAUUACUAACAGCUUCUUCCUGAUUCUUACAGGCCUGCACUUGAAAAGCUUCGAGCUGAUCUUUGACGAGCUGUGAAGCUAGACAUAUCUGCAGACAUUUG
rnacentral:lncRNA from 1 species